rnacentral:rRNA from 1 species
GAUGAACGCUGGCGGCGUGCCUAACACAUGCAAGUCGAACGGAGUCCAGCCUUUAAGACCUUCGGGUCAAAGAGGGGAAGACUGAGUGGCGGACGGGUGAGUAACACGUGGGCAACCUGGCUCAUAGAGGGGGAUAACAGAGAGAAAUUUCUGCUAAUACCGCAUAAGCACACACUGCCGCAUGGCAGAGGGUGAAAAGAGAAUCGCUAUGAGAUGGACCCGCGUCUGAUUAGCCAGUUGGCAGGGUAAGAGCCUACCAAAGCGACGAUCAGUAGCCGAUCUGAGAGGAUGAACGGCCACAUUGGGACUGAGACACGGCCCAAACUCCUACGGGAGGCAGCAGUGGGGGAUAUUGCACAAUGGGGGGAACCCUGAUGCAGCGACGCCGCGUGAGUGAAGAAGUAUUUCGGUAUGUAAAGCUCUAUCAGCAGGGAAGAUAAUGACAGUACCUGAAUAAGAAGCCCCGGCUAACUACGCG